GACGAACCGUGCGAACGUUGUUCGGAUUCACUGGGCUUAAAGGGCGCGUAGGCGGGCGGUCAAGUCGGGGGUGAAAUCUUUCAGCUUAACUGGAAAAGUGCCUCCGAUACUGAUCGCCUCGAGGGAGGUAGGGGCAUGUGGAACUUCCGGUGGAGCGGUGAAAUGCGUAGAUAUCAGGAGGAACACCAGCGGCGAAGGCGGCGCUCGUGGGCCGGUACUGACGCUGAGGAGCAAAAGCGUGGGGAGCAAACAGG
rnacentral:rRNA from 1 species